rnacentral:rRNA from 1 species
GACGAACGCUGGCGGCGUGCCUAAUACAUGCAAGUUGAGCGCUGAAGGUUGGUACUUGUACCAACUGGAUGAGCAGCGAACGGGUGAGUAACGCGUGGGGAAUCUGUCUUUGAGCGGGGGACAACAUUUGGAAACGAAUGCUAAUACCGCAUAAAAACUUUAAACACAAGUUUUAAGUUUGAAAGAUGCAAUUGCAUCACUCAAAGAUGAUCCCGCGUUGUAUUAGCUAGUUGGUGAGGUAAAGGCUCACCAAGGCGAUGAUACAUAGCCGACCUGAGAGGGUGAUCGGCCACAUUGGGACUGAGACACGGCCCAAACUCCUACGGGAGGCAGCAGUAGGGAAUCUUCGGCAAUGGACGAAAGUCUGACCGAGCAACGCCGCGUGAGUGAAGAAGGGUUUCGGAUCGUAAAACUCUGUUGGUAGAGAAGAACGUUGGUGAGAGUGGAAAGCUCAUCAAGUGACGGUAACUACCCAGAAAGGGACGGCUAACUACGUG